AGAGAGCUCUUCGGUAGUUGCUCAAGACUGAGGGGGGAAUCCCCCCCUGCCGGGACAUUUCGAUAUAUUGGCAUUCUUUUUAUGAUUAAGAAAAGCCAGCUGGAGAGUCAUCUGCCUUAUUACAAACCAUCUUUGAUUAUCUGUUAUACCAAAAACACAUUAGAGUCUUGUGUGGUACUGGAUAUUCCUUGAUGUUCUGAUCACUGAGCAAAACAAGAUUUAGCAAGCCAACUGAUACUCAUGUUUGCUUUCCUUGGUUUGGAGUUCCUGCCACCUCAAGCGUGUAAAAACAAACAUCAUUGGUUUGGCUUUCAGAAUUAAACAUGUGCAGCAAUAAAUAUUGCAAGAGACUAAUAAGGAGUUUUCUUCAAAAGGGAUGUCCUCUGUAUAUUACUGACUGUAAUGUCUACAGGACAUCCAUGUUCUCAAGAAUCUCUCACCAAAAAGCAGAGAAUGCCAGCAAAGGACACCAUAUUCCUUUUGUGGUUGAUUUUCCACACAGCAUGUCCUAUUAUUUGGCUAAAAGCUACCUUGCCAACACCUGUUUCUUAAUUUACAUAGAUUAUGUGUGAGAACUGAAAUCAAUCACCCAUUAUGAAUCCUCGAUCACAUCACUGUGAAUUUAUGCCUCAUAUCAACUGCAUUUACUUGAGGGGUAGUCAUCUUCAAAAGUAGAUGAUUAUUAUCAUUAUCAUUGUUAUUACUUGUAUACCACUUUCCAGCAAAAAGGUUUUCAGAGUGUUUUACAUAGGAAAGAAGAAGAAGGUGGUUCCCUGUUCCAAAUGGGCUUACAAUCCAAAAAGAAACCAAGGGAGACAUCAGCAACAUCCAUUGCAAAUAUGCUACAUUGGGGUUGGAUAUGGGGGGUAAUUGACAAUGAAGACAUUGGUGGACAACUUCUGCCUUUUAGGAUUGACCGUCAACAGUAAAGGAUCCAGCAGUCAAGAAAUACACUACAGACUAGCACUUGGUAGAGUUGCAAUGAAGGCCUUGGAAAGGAUAUUUAGAUGCUGUGACGUGUCUAUACCUACAAAGAUUAGAAUCGUUCUCACCAUGGUUUUCCCCGUAACACUAUAUGGAUGUGAAAGCUGGACUUUGAAGAAGCAAGAUAGAAAAAACAUUGAUGCUUUUGAACUUUGGAGCUGGAGAAGACUUUUGAGGAAACCAUGGACAGCCAGGAAAACAAACAAAUGGAUCAUAGAACAAAUCAAUCCAGAAUUUUCACUCGAGGCACAAAUGACCAGGCUCAAACUAUCAUACUUCAGAGACAUGAUGCAAAGACCCAGCUCCCUUGAGAAGUCCAUAAUGCUGGGGAAAGUUGAAGGAAAGAGAAGGAUGACCAGCAGCAAGGUGGAUAGUCUCAAUUAUGACAGCAAUGAAUGCGCCACUGAUAGACCUUAAAGGCCAAUUUGAAGACAGAUCAUCUGGAGAGAAUCUAUCUAUGUGGUCGCUAAGAGUCCACACCAACUUGAUGGCACUUAAUCAAUCAAUCAAUGGGGAGUUGCUUUCCCCUUGCCAAAGAUAAGGGAGCUACCACUUUAAAAGGUGUCUCUUUUAAAUAUUAUAUGACUGCGGGUCAUAUAAUAAUAAAAAUAACUGGCACAGAUAUCUUUAUUAAAAAGAAUAUCACCUGCAAGUCAAACAACCUAAUAUAUUUUAUAAAAUGCAAGCGCCCUGGAUGCCACAUUGCAGAAACAGCAGACCUUCAUACAUGAUCUAGAACCCACAAAAGAACGAUCACAACAAAGAAGGUUCAACAACCAUGAACAAUUAAAAUUGCAAAACAUUUUAAUUCUGAUAGCUACAAUUUUUCUGACUUGCAAAAAUUUAUAGAAAAGCCAUCUAGUUGCAGGAUAGUAGAAGAAGAUAGUACUUCUGGAUCUAUAGACUUUUAAGACCCUGACAUCUUCAGUCUUGAAGGUGUGUGUGUGUGUGUUGUGCAUGUGUGUUUGAGUAAAAUUCUUUUCCAUGUGCCACUAUAGUAUGCUGAGAAUUCUACCACACUCAGCAUUCACUAUGGCUCGGAGUGCUCAUUUAAAUCACAAUUUUGUGUUACUGAGGAAGAUGGAAGCUGAAAUGGAUCUCUGUUUUGUUAUUCAUAUGCAUGCAUGUGCGGGCACACACACACACACACACACACACACACACACACACACACACAAUUGUACACAUAUAAUGAGACCAAAAGGCCCUGAAAUGCAAGAGAUCCAACCUGUGAUAUUUCUAUGCAACGCUCAAGUGUGUACAAGAUUCACAAGAGUAGUCAGUGGCCACAGGAUGCAAUCUUUUCAGCUUUAGAACACAAAUUAACACCUGCAGUGAGAGAGAAAAGCUUGGUUAAUUAUUGAGCCUUAACUUUAUAUUCCCAUACCCAUACCCUUACACCUUAAGUAAUGCAGCAGUGAAAUGGUUGACUAACAAGCAGAAGGUUGCCGGUUCAAAUCCCCGCUGGUACUAUAUCGGGGAGCAGCGAUAUAGGAUGAUGCUGAAAGGCAUCAUCUCACACUGUGCGGGAGGAGGCAAUGGUAAACCCCUCCUGUAUUCUACCAAAAGAAAACCACAGGACACGGUGGGCGCCAGGUUGAAAUCGACUUGGCGGCACACUUUACCUUUUACUUUACCCUUGUCCUUAUCUAUGACCUGCAACAUGAAACCCACUUUUAAUUUUGUUUAUGCAUGUCCAUCUUCCUGUUCUUGUUUUCAUAGCAACCUGCUCUUCUCCCUUCAGUAGUUUCAUCAGAGAGGGAAUUUUGGCAGGUACUAAUACAGGUGAGAAAAGCUGUGCAUGACAAAAUUCCCACUUUUACACAACUAGCAAAUGUGCAGGAACCCCAGUGUUCCUUCAACAAACACAAGACAAAACAGAAAUUAAAGCGUUAAAAACAAUUUAAAACCACAAUUCUAGUUAAAGUGUUUGGGUGAAUAACUCUGUCUUUAGAGCCUUUUUUAAAAGUUGUCAGAGAUGGGGAGGCUCUUAUUUUGGCAUGGAGCGUAUCCAAAUUUUCGAGGCAGCCACAGAGAAAGCUCAUCCCUGAGCAGCCAUCCGAUGAGCAGGUGGCAGCUGCAUAUAGACCUCUCUUGAUUAUCUCAAUGGUCAGGGCUCAUAGUGAAGAAGACCCCCUGCUUCUUUGGGUGGAUCCAUCUCUGCCUCACCUUAGUCUAAUGAAUCCCUUUAUACAGUAACACCUAAGACCUGGUGAAUUGACAUCUUACAUCAUCCCCCCAUAGCAUAACAGCAGCUGAAGUAGUUGUAGUAACAUCUGUUACUGGUUUUCCUGCUGCUUUAUUUCAUUGGCUUUAUUGUUGAUUUUAUCAUUGCAAUGUAUCCUUAUUUUCUGAGCAGAAAGGCAGGGUACAAAUCUUGAAAUAAUUACAGAAAUCCUUACAGCCCUGUGAAAUCAGGUUGCAAAAAUAUUCACAGCAUUAUUAGCAGCAAGACUGAAUGAGAUUGUAACAUUGUAUGCCAAUAAUGACUAUGCAGAAUGAAUGUAUGCCAUGUUGACAGCUGUUUGCAUUCUAAUUUUGUCUAUAACUGGAAUAAAACCAAACUCCCCUUAGCCAUCCUAUCACUAGAUACUUGCAAAAGUAUUUGACCAGUUGGAACAGUCUUUUCUUUUGGCCUUUCUUGAAAAAAUGAAGUUUGGCUUGUGCUUCCUUAAGGCAGUAACUCAAUUUUGCCACCAUAAUGCUUCAGAAUCAACAACUUAGACUCCCCACGUUUUCGGAUUAACAGAGGCCCAAAACAGGGGCUUCUUAUCCCUGCUGCUUUUGUACUUGGAUGAAGCAACUUACAAACUUCAUACACAGCAACCAUAACUAAUAGCUUUAAAGACAGAUGGCAGAAAAUACCUCAUAAACUUAUUUGUGGAUGAUACUGCCCCCCCCUUUUAACCAAGACCUGCCAGAGUUAAUGUUCUCACACCCAGUCAAUUUCCAGGCCCAAUUCAAAGUGCUGGUUUUAAUCUUUAAAGCCCUAAACAGCUUAGGACCAGGUUACCCGAGAGAGCGCCUAGCUCUAUAUAUCACUACCCGAACCUAGAGAUCUUCAGAGGCUUUGCUCCAAGUGCCCCCGCUAAAUGAAGUGAGGUGGGUGGUUACUAGGAUGCAGGCCUUUUUGGUGGUGGUACCCCAUUAUGGAAUAUCCUCCCCAGUGUGGCUCACCUGGUAUCAUCACUCUUCUUUUAGACGCCAGGGCACUUUCCAGACUAGCUGCUCAUUAGCAGCAAAAUGCCUUCAUUUGGGCAAGUCGCAUUUGGGCCAAAAACAGCAGGGGGAGCAGUCUUGCAGCAACUAACAACCCGAAAAAACAGCAACUUUUUCACACUGGAUAUGCGAGGUCCUUGCUCUAUAUUACAGCGAUUAAAUUCGCAACAAGGCAUUGGAAAUGUGAACAGCACCCUGCUGUCUGUGUAGGGACUGCGAUGUUAUGACAUAGGAAGUAUGGAAGCACACUUCCAAGAUUUGUCCUGACCCCAUUGUAGGGUCUAGUCUGGAAAGUGCCCAGGUGAAGGAAGGAACACAGGAAGCUGCCAUGUACUGAGUCAGACUAUAGGUCCUUCUCGCUCAGUAUUGUCUACACAGACUGGCAGUGGCUUCUCCAAGGUUGCAGGCAGGAAUCUCCCUCAGCCCUAUCUUGGAGAUGCUGCCAGGGAGGGAACUUGGAGCCUAGAUGCUCUUCCAAGAACAGCUCCAUCCCCUAAGGCCUAAGGGGAAUAUGGGGAAUAUCUUACAGAGCUCACACUUCUAGUCUCCCUUUUGUAUGCAACCAGGACGGAUCCUGCUUAGCUUAAGGGGACAAGUCAUGCUUGCUACCACAAGACCAGCUCUCUUCCCUUUCUGUUCACUUUAAAAAUAGGGUUUUUUUAAGUUUUAAAAAAUGCUUUUGUGAUUGUAUUUUGUAUUUUUUUUGUAUUUUUAAAAUGUAUUUUAAUUGUACAGUACAUUUUAUUAUAUUGAUGUUUUAUUGUGAGCCACCCAGAGAACAAUUUGUUAUGGUUCCAGGUGGCUUCUCAUACUACCCUCAGCCAGCGGCAUACCUUACAAAUUUGACCACUCUAAAUCAGAGGAGAGCGUUCUCGCUGGCGCGGUUUAAUGCCCUGCCUUUUGCCAUUUUGGAUGGCAAGUUUAAGAGAAUACCGCUCAGGAACCAGCUAUGUCCAUGCGGUUCGGGCAAAUAUUGAGUCCAUCUCACAUGUGGUUUUAUACUGUUUAUAUUAUAGGAACAUUCACAUUGCCUGGAUUGAACCACUUUUAAAAAACAUGCCAGGUCGAUCAGAAGACUUCCUUCCUUCCGGCAGACCAGUAUACAGCUAUUAGACGGAGUAGCAAGAUUCUGUGCCACAGCAUGCAAACUGAGAUGGGAGCAGUUGAUUAAUUAUAACUGAGACCUCUGAGCAAAUGAAGAGGAACAAGUCAGCACCAUCCAAAUGGGUCCCCAAAUGGAUUGUUCUGGGCCCAGGAAUAAACAAAACGGGCGUUCCAGAAAUGAAUGGAGCUGCUGAGGUGAAUAGUUUCCAUGCACACUCAUGCAAUACAGAGGAAUGUGCAGUCAUUUCUGCUUCAAUUUAGCCUGGUAAACUGCAAUGACUUCAUUUGACUUCAGAGGGUACUGUGGCUUUUUCUCUGACCAACAGAAAAGCUGAUCUUCUCUGCUCAUCUCAUUGGUUGUGACUGGUUCUGCUUUUUUUCCUUCACUAUUUUAUUUAUUUAUUUAUUUAAAAUAAAUGCCCCAGGGCUUUGGAACACGCUCCCUGCUGAAAUAAGAGCAUCUCCUCUGUUUGCUUUUAGGAGGACCCUGAAGUGAAGACGCACCUGUUUUCCCAGGCCUUCAACUGAGAUUGUAUUUUAAAAUUGAUUGUAAUGUGUUUUUAACGGGUUUUUAUCUAUAAUUUUUAUCUUUUUAUGAAUUUUAAAUGUGUUUUAUUGUAUGUUUUAAUUCUGUAAACCGCCUAGAGAUUUUUAUACUAGGUGGUAUAUAAAUUAAUUAAUUAAUUAAUUAAUAAUAAAUAAAUAAAAAUAUUUAUACCUCUCCCCUCCAGUACACUACCGCUUGGGGCAGCUCACAACAAUAAAAUAGAUACAAUGUAAAAUAAAAGUAAUAAAAUUAACCAAAUUAAGUAAACAAGUUAACAGUGAGGCUAAAACCACAAUCAGAAUUACAUUUCAAAUUAAUAUGUUAUUUUAAAAGCUAAUAAUUGAGAAUUAUAAAAACUAUUCUUCUGGAGUUUGAUGAUCUUCUGCAGUUAUCAAUAUUUGACAGAUUUCUGUACUAUCAGAUGGAUAAGGAUUUCCUUCUUUAGCCUUCUGAAGAACUUUCAUACUUCCUUCUUUUGGAACUGGGAAUCUUCUCUCUGCUUUGGUUUCAGGAUGUCUCUGUUGGAACUAUUCAAAAUAUUUGUACCAUUUGGUGAUGGCAGUGGUGCUUGUCUCAUGCUGUGUGUGGUGUGUUUGGUUAACCCAUUCCUUGAUCCAGGCCAGCUUUUGAAUGGGGCUUUAGUUACUUGUAUUUCAGUCCUGGAAUGGAGGAGGGACUAACAAACAGCCAGCAGCAAGAGCACUGAAAAGCACUCUGCACUUGACUCUUAACAUUAAUGACAACAUUAUAGGUGCUUCAAUGAUAGGUUUAAUUAUUGAAAAAGACCAGGUAGCCACUUUCAUUAGCAAUAAAGGAUUUACUUCUUAAGGGUCAAUUUCCAUGUUGGUGAUGUUUCACAUUUCGUUCUUCCCAAAGCAAAGCAACAAUUUUUAUGUUCCUUAUUUCAUGCCAGACUUUUUGUUUGUUGCUUUCUUGAGCUUGUGAGAAACCACAAAUAGCUUCAUGCUUUUCAAGCCAAGCUAAGCCAUUUCCCGCAAAUAAAGAUUGCCCUCAAUCUAGUUCUUUGCAGAAGUCUGUUCCUUUUGCGAGGAAAAGGUGUAUUUUUCCUUAUGGUGGACAAAGUUCAUCAGCUUAGCAUGGGUUUAUCAGUCAUCACAUAGCUUGAGAGAGGAUAGGGUUAAUUUUUUUUAAUGCAGGCUAGCUUUCUGUUAGGCAGUAGGUGGUGCCAGAAACCCAGUUCAUGUUCUGUGUGGCUCAAAAGACAGUGAUUUUGAAGAGCUCCUGCUCAACUUCUUAAAAAAUCAGGCUAGUUUGUUCUUCCUCCCCACCCUCAUACCUGCUUUAUUUCUUCUUAUGUGCCAGGGUGGGAAGGGAGUAACUUCAUUUUGUUCUAAAAAACAUUGCUUUAUGUUCUAAUUUGGUCUGUUUGUUAAAACUGGUCAGUUACUUUCAGUUUUGCCUUGGUUAGCUUUUUUAUUCCUCCCCCCCCCGUUAACUCUUUCACACUCACCCCCCAUUUCAAGCCUAUGGAGGCGGCUCAGCUGGGAGAGAUGUUAGUGGACUCCUGCUUGGAAGGUCCCCACUCAGACCCAAAGGAGGAAAAAGCGCACAUGUGUGUGUGUUUUUUAAAAGCCCUUUAAGGAUCUAAAUGUUGCCUCUCUCCCCCCAAGCUGAUUGGGCCCCCAGUGAGCCCUAAGCAACAUAGAAGGGUUGCGAAGAAUAGCAAACACUUAGCAAGGAACACACUGUUUUAAAAAACAAACCCUGCAAAAAACAGCCUCCUUCCUCUGCUCUGUGCCUCAGUGAGCAUUUCCUGCUACAAGCGCUCUGCCAGCAGAAGCAGCCCAGAUGCCCACCUCCCAUAUUGCCCCAAGACAACAUGGGCAAAGGUGCACACAGCACAAGGGUGCCAUUUUAACCAAAGAUAUUUCUGCUGCUCCUGUGGAAGUUGGGGAGGGAGCUGCGGCUGUGCCAUUUUUGCUCCCCAUAUCCCAAAAUGCCAGGCUUCCUUCUGCAUUAGACCAUGGCUCUAGCUUGCUAGUCCCUGACGCUGCACAAUCCUAGAUAACACAGCCUGUGCAAACUGCCUCUGCUCCUAUACGAACUUCACAGAGCGCCACGCAGAUGAAUAAGAACUUGCCAGGGGGGCAGUAAAAGAAAAAAAAAAUCAUCUCCACAGAAAACAUGUCUCAAUGGCUAAAGGCAUUUAUUUCAAUUGAAUGCAGGACUCUAGUUCUCUGUACCACUUCAGCCCCGUUUACCCCAACCGGUUCCAGCCCCUAGGGCUAGACCCACAUGGCGACAGAACCUGGGAGCCUACUCCUCUCCAGAUUCCAGUCAGGGUAGUGGGACCAUUCUCUCCACAAAGAGAGGGUGCUUCAAGCCUCGGGCCAAGGCACCAUUGGGUAAAAGAAAAGUAUAUUGGGAGAGAACCCUCCCUCUUCCUCAUCAGAAGAUGAGAAAUUGUCUGAGAAGGGCUCCACACCACAAGUACCAAGCUCCUCACACUUCUUUGCACCAGCUGACUUGAAGUUUUACUGGCAAAGCUAAGAGAGUCAUCAAUGAUGUCUCCGUUCCAGAUGUUCCUUGACCUCCUCCUGGCCUAUACCUACAAGUCUUCCCAUCCUUCCACAUCAUUCCCUAAAAUUUUUUUAACCUCUCACCUGAUAUAAUGGACCUGCUCUUGGUCACCAAAGUGAUGCACCAGCGGCCCAGUUAGUCUCAGGAGCAAUCAUACACAAAGAAGGCGAGGAACAGUUAAAAAACUCCAGAGGACAAAAAGUGUGCUUCUUUCCUAAGAAAGGCUCAUGAGGUGUCAGCUAUAAUAAUUAGAACAUCCACUACCACUUCAAUCUUUGCACAAGCCUCCGUUCCAUGGGCAAAAGAAUUAGUGCAAUACAUUCCUUUGGAAAAUAAGAAGUUAUGCCAGGGCAUUAAUAAACUAGCCAAGGCAGCCACACUCAUGGCUGUCUCCAGCCGGGAUUCUAUCCAAUAUGUAUCCAGGGCUAUGGCUUUGUGAUGGCAGUGCAUAGGAGCCUCUGGCUAAAACAUUGGAAUGCAGAUGCUAAAUCCAAACUCAGCCUAGCAGCCCUCCCCUUCAUGGGGACCAAGCUAUUUGGUGAAUCUCUAGAGUCUAUCAUAGUCGAGACCAGGGAUAAGAAAAAAGUUAUUCCCCUAGGGUGCCAAGAUUCACAGAAGUCCUUCCGUUUCAAUAAUAUCUUUCAUCCCUACAGAACAUUUUCUAGAAACACAGGAGCCUCCUUCAGAGAUCAGAGACCCAUAACCAACUAACCUGUUUGGCAUCAAUGCACCAGGGGAUCUUGGAAUCAAUGCAUGGCAGCAUUGUGCAAGGGGAUCUUCCAGACCAGUGUUUCUCAACCACCGGUCCCUGGACCGCUGCCGGUCCCUGAAGGGUUGAGUGCUGGUCCCUGACUGGGAGUCAACACCCCCUCCCAACUGAAAUCAAGGCACUCACUUCCUCAAUUUUGCACAUGGCACGGAAGAGGAAAAGUAUCACGGAGGCAUGGGACCCUUCUUGUGCCUUGCCUCCACGUGCUGCUGAGAUCUUCCUACAGCUAUCUUAUUCCCUAUCUUUACAGCUUCAAACUGUAUGCGAUGCGGGGGCAUGGAGGAAAAAGUAUGGCAGUGGGCGCCACUUGAAGGGCUGCUGGUUCUUGCAUGCUCAUUGUUUGCAGCCAAAGGUUGGUUGAUUGAAACCCAGCUGCCUGUUGUGGUCGAGGCGCCUUGAGAGGGAACGCUGUUUCCCUCUUGCAUCAGUGGGGCUUGCUUGUAUGUUGUUUUCAUUGGCCCCAUGUAGCUUUUGAAUUUUUCUAAUGGCCCAACAUCCCCUCUCCAUUGAGUAAUCACAAGCACCUCCACUCCAGACAUACUGGAGACAAAUUUGUUCACCCAGGCUUUUAGAUUCAGGGGUUCUCAACCUUGGGUACCCAGACGUUGGUGGACUUCUACUCCCAUAAUCCCCAGCCAUAAUGGCCAAAUGCCAUUGUUGUUAGGGGUUAUGGGAGUUUAACUGAGGGACCCAAGGUUAAGAACCCCUAAUAUUCCAUGUUUGCAAAAGAUUCCAAAUUUAAUUAUUUUAAUGCUUAUAUUAUUUUCAUUCUAAACUGCCCAGAGAUGCAAGUUUUGGGCAGUAUAGAAGUCUGAUAGAUAGACAGAUAGAUAGAUAGACAGACUUGAAACCCCUUUACUAACUGCUGGUCCGGGAAACUGUGCAUGAAGAAUGUAGCGGUCCUUGAUACUCUGCACGAAGAAUUUAGCGGUCCUUGACUCCAAAAAGUUUGAGAAACACUGUUCCAGACCACAACAGUUCAGACGAUUCCCCUCCACCCCUGCUUACCAACCACAUAAACAAUCACUCUGCUCUGGUCAGGGGCAGACUCGCCCUACACUUGUGAGCCUGGUGGGCCUCCACUACUGACACAAUCCAAAAUGGCUACGCAUUAGAGUUUGAGAUGCCUCCCCCCGACCAGUUUCUGUCAUAAAUCUGUUAGCUCGGCUAACCCAACAGGAUUUACAACCCCCUUCAAAACUCCCUGGUGAGUUAACAGAAAGCGGCAGCGGAACUGCACGAAUGAAAAAUAAAAGGCUCACAAAGGAAAACAGUAAAUGAAUUAAGUCCCCUGAACUGAACUAGGUAACCUCCUCUAACAAUAACUGAGUAAUAAGUGAAAAGAAAACACAGAGCAAGGAAUGAAAAUAGCGAAGGACGACAGAAGCAAGGAAUUAACAGAACAAAGCAGGAAAGGAUAAACAAGGCAAACUGGAACUCGGACAAAGUUUUGGAAUUCGAAUAGCACACUGUCUGCAGCCAGCGAAACAUUGCAAACAGCAUCUGAGCAAUUGAGAGACUGCUAAAUAUAUAUGGCUCAAGAGAACCAGCAGCCAAUCAGGCUUCCCUGAGUCAGCACUUCAGCUUCCUCUCUUGUGAUCUCCUGCGCCUGCGUGACUGCCACUGAGCUUGCCUCUUGAGACGCCUUCUCAAGACAGGUGAAAUCCCAAGCUCCUCCUCAUCAGAAAUCAUGUCUGGCAGCUGUUGUAAAUCCUCAGCUCCAGAGUCUGGUCUCCCUGCAAAAUCCUGUUGCUGUGCCUCUGAGCCCUCACUAGCAGGCGAAUCCUCCUGCUCUGACUCUUCUGAGUCAGAAGUCUGAGCCAUGACAGUUUCUUACCCACACCCAUCCCCCAAAACUGACCCAAACAAUUACAGAUGCACCUGGCUAUUCUUCAUCUGCUGGAGAUCAAGGCAAUACAAUCAGAUCUGGAUUGUGAUCCGUUAAGCCCAUAAGUGAAUGGGUUCUGCGCCUGUGCAGGCACCUCUCGGGCCGACUAGGUAGCUCCUCGCGACGCCCAACCGCCUUUCUGCACGUGCUCCUGCAUUCCAUCUAUAUAGUGCGGUUGGGCGUCUUCCGUUAGUUUCUGUUUGACCGCCACAGCGUUCAGACCUCGUUUGGGCUCCUCGGUAGACAGAAAUAACAAACUUUACUUAUACGGCUUGAAAAUUGGUAUUGAAUUUGGACAGGAUAAACGGACUUGGAUAUUUGCUUAACGGACUAGUUUACACGACAGAUCGGACUGAUUUAUCUGGCUUUACCUGGACUGCUAAACGGAAUCGGAAACUUGUUUAACGGACUAGUCUAGACGACAGAUCGGACUGAUUUCUCUGGCUUUACUUGGAUUGUUGUUGGAUCUUGCAAACUGCUUCACGGACGGUGUUGAUGAAAGAUCAAACAGACUUAUUCAUUGCUUCUCAACCUGGACUGCUUUACGGAAAAUGGAGAAUAAAACUACGUUUAAACGUUGUGUGAGGUGUCGGGCAAAGUUGCCAUCCACCGACCAUCAUGAUGCCUGCUUGUUGUGUCUCGGUGAGGAGCACAACACGGCAGCUUGUAAAAUUUGCUGUGCAUUCUCGAAACAAACGAGAACAAAUCGGGCGUUGCACCUUAGAGCCGCACUUUAUGAAGACGCACUCCGCCCGCCGACCCCUCGCCCUAUAGAUCAGUCGACAUCGACAUCGGCUACGGCAUCGGGCGCAGGGAGUCACGGAGCUGUCGCAGUACAGUCUAAAACCGUGUCUGAUAAAGCUUUCAAGAGACCUUUGGAAGUCACUUCUAAGGAGCACAAGCGGAAGGAAAAAAAGACAUCGACGAGACGAAGGUGAGAAGACUGGACAUAGGCUGAAAACUCCAUCACCUUCCUCAGUGCAAGGAUCGGAGGGUGAGUGGAAUACAGAGCAUUGCACUUCAAGCCCGGUCUCGACACCGAGAGCCUCGACGUCGAGGACACCCUCGACAUCAAGAGGUGAACGAAAAGGCGAAUCAUCGGUACCAACACCCUCGACGCCGAAGCCCUCGACAUCGAGGAGUGAGCGCACCGGGGUCAUUUUGCCAUUGAGCUCGACAUCGAAGGCGAAGAGCAACCGUGACUCUUCGGCGCCGAGAGAGACUGCACACCGUGUCUCCCUCUCCCCUGCACACACUCCUCAACAGUCUUCCUCGACUCCAAGGAACCAGGGAAGCCACCGCUCUGAUAGGGUCCAUUCACUUAUGGACUCAACGGAUCACUACCAGAUCACCUGUUACACGUAAGCAACCUGUUUUACCAUCAAUAGAAUUAUGGCAAGUUAUAUUUUCCAUAUUGUUUUUGGAACCCAAGAAAGACGGGUUGUGGAGGGCAGUCCUAGACCUCAAGCGCCUGAACAGAUUCAUUAAAAAGAAGCCAUUCUGCAUGGAAUCUGUGCCAUCCAUCAAGGAAGCCUCUUGGAGGCCUACCUACAUGUCCUGAUAUGCACUCACUACCUCAGAUUUGCUUACAACAAUCCCCAGUUUCAAUACAGGGCCAUGCCCUUCGGCCUCUCAUUGGCCCUGUGGGUGCUUUUCGAAGCUGAUGGCGGCCCCCGUGACAUGCUUACGCCUGCAAGCCAUUCAUAUCCACCCUUGUUUGGUUGUUAUGCUUAUCAGUUCUCAGACCCAUCAACAGGCCUACAAGGACAUUCAGCAGACCACACAAAUGCUCCUGAACCACGGAUUUGUCAUCAGUGAUCAGAAAAAUCAUCUGUUGCCCUCCCCGUCCCUGCAAUACUUGGGAGCCCUCAUCAACACUCAAAAUGCAACAGUGUCUCUACCUUCCAAACGCAAAGACAAACUGAGACCACUAAUUCAUCCUCUCCUGUGUCAAAAGUCGGCAGACCUGAUGCUCCUGGUGCAGAUCCUAGGCUCAAUAAUCUCUUGCAUGGAAUGCGCCCUUUGGACAAAAUGGCAUUCAAGAACAUUCCUAUGGCACAUCCUACUACAUCAGGAGGCCAUCAUGGAACGCAGGCAGGUGCAGCUCCCACUCACGAACAAACCCCUCAGGUCACUCGAAUGGUGGCUGUCUCCGGCACUCGACAAGGAGCUUUCAUUCACAAUCUCCUAGCAAACAACCAUCACCACAGAUGCAAGCCUCUCCGGCUGGGAAACUCAUUACUAGAGCCAUUAUGCACAGGUCAAAUGGUCUCCCCCAGAGCUUCUGUACAAUGUCAACUUGCUGGAGCUCCGUGCAAUCUGCCUAACACUCAUUCAUGUCCUACCACAAAUCACAAACACCCAUGUGCUUGUCCAGACGGACAAUAUCACCGCAAAGUCCCAGUCAAUCACCAAGGGGGAACAAGGUCAAGAGCAAUCAUGGCGGAAUCUAAUCUCUUUGCCAGGGCAGAGAAUCACCUCCUCCUGUCCAUAUCAGCAGACCACCUCAGUGGGAUGGCAAACGUACAUGCAGAUUGGCUAAGUCAUCAGAUGAUAGAUCCCACAGAAUGGUCACUUCACCUGGAUGUGUUCCAUCAGAUGACCAAGGCACUAGGCCUUCCUGAAGUGGACAUAUUUGCGUCAGCAAGCAACCAUCAACUUCCAUGCUUCUUCACAAGGUUCCAGUUCCUCUGGGCAGAAGCCACGGAUACAUUAAUGACACCAUGUCCCCGCCCCACAGCCUGCUAGAUGUGUUUUCCCCGAUGGCCAUUAUUUGAAGAGUCAUUCAAAAAGUGCUGUUAGAAAGGGCAGACCUGAUCAACAUCUCACCUUAUUGGCCCCAGAGGCCAUGGUUUUCCAACCAAUUGAAUCUCUCAAUUCGUCCCCCUUGGCAUCUUCCUCCACGACAAGGCCUUCUGUCACAGGGCCGCAUUCUCCACCCAGACCCUCAAUGGGUCCAAUUCUCCGUGUGGAGGUUGAGCGCUUGGCCCUAGCUCAAGCUGGAUACUCACUUUAAGUACAGAAGAUUAUCUUAGCUUCUAGAAGAUCGUCCACCAGUAGAAUUUACCAGUCUACUUGGUCAGCUUUUUCGUGGUGGGUGCACCUGAUGCACGUAUCUCUGUUGACUGCAGGGGUCCCCAAAGUAAUGGCUUUCUUACAGUCUGGUUUGGAACUUAAACUAUGACCUAGUGCACUGAGACAUCAAACUUCAGCCCUUUCCUCAGUGCUCAAAUGGUCUGCUUCAGAUGUUCCUUCAUCCUCACCUUUUGAGGUUCCUUAAGGGGGCCGUCAACAUUCCCCCAGCACCUCAAUGGGGUUCUUAAUGCAUUCACUAGAGCACCCUUCGAACCGCUCCUCUAUGUACCUUUAAAAACCUCUCUCAUUCCAGGUGCACUUCCUGGCUGCAAUUACUUUAGUAUGAAGAGUAUCCGAAUUGGGUGUGCUCUCUAGUCGUAAGGAGCUGUGCACGUUACAUCAGGAUGCAGUGGUGCUAAGAUUAGACCCUACCUUCCUCCCAAAGGUUAAUUCUACGCUCCACCAGAUGCAGGAGGUCAUCCUUCUGCCCUUCUCUGCAGCUCCCCAAAGAAAAAUUACGGCACUCUCUAGAUGUGUGCAGGGCACUCAGAAUUUACCUAAGACAUACUGCCAUGUUAUGCCAAAUGAACUCUCUUUUAGUGUCAUUUCUUCCUUCAUCUCUGGGUAACAGGUUAUCCAAAGUGACCAUGUCCCAAUGGAUAUAGGUACUGUAACUAUCACGCUAGCAUACAAAUCUCUGGAGCUUGCCUGCUCCAACGGGCAUUACAGCUCAUUCCACUCAUAGUGCUUCUACUUCAGCUGCCUUUUCUGCAAAUGUCCCUCUCAUGGAGAUUUGUAGAGCAGCCACCUGGGUUUCUGUUUCUCCAUUCAUGAAACACUAUAAGAUCUUUUCAUUCCAUGCAGCCCAGGCGGUGUUUGGCCGCACGGUUCUACAGAAUGUGGUCUAGACCAUCCACUCCCUUCCUUCUUCUCUUAGCUAGCUUGGGUAUGUACCAUACUAAGCUGAUGACCUUCAUCCAACAUAAGGAAAAAGAAACAUUGGUCUUACCAUGAAGAGUUCUUUUUCUUAGGUGGACGAAGGUCAUCAGACCCACCCUAUAUAAACUUGAUGGUUGGGGUGCCAGUUUUGGGUGUAGGGAGCAACCCUCAGGGACAAUUGAGUCAUCUAUCCACUAUUAUGACUUCAUAGUAUUUUCUUUCUCACCUUGAAUGGAUAACUGCUUUGCCUCUGUUUCUUCUAUCUUACCUUUCUACGCUACAGGCCUGGAACUGGGUUUCUGGUGCUACCUACUGUCUAAUAAGAAGCUAGCCUGCAGAAAAAAGGUAACUCUAGCCUGUCUCAAGCCAUAUGAUGACUGAUGAACCCACACUAAGCUGAUUAUCUUCAUCCACCUAAAAAAAGAACUCUUCACAGUAACACUAAUGUUUCUUUUUUUUCUUACCUUGGAGAAAUAUCUCUUUUUCUCUUGCAAGAACAGUAAUCAAAAUGGUCAGAUCAAUGUUUAACAAUGAUAGAUGUCUUCUGUGAUUGGUUGGAAAAGGCCAGUGGGCCAGAAAAGAAACCAAGUAGCCAUUUUAUUUGGCAAGAAAGAACUUGCCUCCAUGUUGAUGGUGACCACCUAUGAUCUUUUAAACUUCCUCCUUCCUGAAACAGUGCAACAAUGUGUAUCAUUGGACUUUUUGUUAUCAGUGUGUUCUUUUAAGCUGAUUGAAAACCAUGCAUUUCAAGCCAAGGCAUUUCCUGCUAAUGAAGCACAUUGUGAUAGUAUUCCCUCUCAUUCCCUAGGAAAUAAACCAAAUAGCUUCUUUCUUUAGCAAUAAACCACUUACCUCUGUUAGUGAUGUUAAUAUCUGAAGUUUUUCACAUCCCUUUUUCUAAAACAGUGCAACUAGUUAUGUUCCUUACCUUGCAUCAUAAUUUUUCUUAUGAAUUUCUUAAACUUGACAAAAUCUAUGGAGUUUGUUUUGUUUUGCUCCCCCCCCCUUUUUUUUUUUAGCUUUUCCAGAUAACUCCCAAAACAAUGGUUGUCUUAUUGUGGUCAAUUUGUCUGUAGUUCUAUGCUUGAGUUAGUUUAUUUCUAGGGUGAAGAUACUUCUCCAGACAACUUUCCCCCUACUGUCUCUAGAAUUAAGUCUUGACAAAGGUUAUUUACAGAGCCAAACAAAGAAAGGAAAUGGAAAAUUUGGCAUGUAGAAAUGCUAAAUACUUGCCUCAUCUGCUGGAUUGCUUGGUCUCAAACUGCCUCCAGCUGUUACAAAUUCCUGUUCUAGAACAGAAAGAUACUUCUUACCUGGCAGCCUUACCACUCAUUUGUAUAUUUAAAAGGAACACAACUCCUUUGCCAUGAAUUAGCCCAUCUAUUCUUGGUAUAGGAGGAGGAGGAGAAACAAACUGCCCCUGUGAGAUGCUACUUCUUCUUCUGCAUCCUCCACACCACUGAGUCUGACCCUUUGGCUUUGAGCUUUAGCCAUCACCAAAGAGACAAUAAGGCCAUUCUAAUGUAUGGCUAAAAUUGGGCUAGGGCAGCCCAGCCUGAUUUUAGUUGCGUGUGAGAACCAACGGGAGCCCGGUGGCUUGGUGGCAAACCCUCCUGCGUAGCCCACCUCUUAACCUGGGUUUCGGACGUGAGGGCAACAACAACAAAGCACUUGUGCAGUGCUUUCAGGGACUUUCAGGGGCCAGGAGCCCCCCCCCCCCAAACCCGCCUUUCAGCAUAGCUUCAUAAUGGUCCCCUUGAGACAACUGAGCAAUCGUCUGCAGGGAGAGCAGUUUGAGACCAUCGCUUGGUCUCAAACUGCCUCCAGCUGUUACAAAUUCCUGUUCUAGAACAGAAAGAUACUUCUUACCUGGCAGCCUUACCACUCAUUUGUAUAUUUAAAAGGAACACAACAACUUUGCCAUGAUUAGCCCAUCUAUUCUUGGUAUAGGAGGAGGAGGAGGAGGAGAAGCAAACUGCCCCUGUGAGAUGCUACUUCUUCUUCUGCAUCCUCCACACCACUGAGUCUGACCCUUUGGCUUUGAGCUUUAGUCAUCACCAAAGAGACAAUAAGGCCAUUCUAAUGCAUGGCUAAAAUUGGGCUAGGGAAGCCCAGCCUGAUUUUAGUUCCGUGUGAGAACCAACGGGAGCCAUGUGGCUCCCAGUGGUGGCUUGGUGGCAAACCCUCCUGCAUAGCCCACCUCUUAACCCGGGUUUCGGACGUGAGGGCAACAACAACAAAGCACUUGUGCAGUGCUUUCAGGGACUUUCAGGGGCCAGGAGGCCCCCCCAACCCCCCCUUUCAGCAUAGCUUCAUAAUGGUCUCCCUGAGACGACUGAGCAAUCGUCUGCAGGGAGAGCGGGUCGAACCCACUCUCCACGCAACCCCCCUUUAGGCUCUUCACACUGCUUGUGUGAAGAGUCUCAAUGAGCACAUUAUAGCAGAGAAAUCACAGGUGAUGUCAUAACUGCCGCCUGCAGUGGUGGGGGCAAAGUGUCAUCCUUCAGCACUGGAGAGAGAUGUACCUGGUGGGCACCUAUCUACAGUACACUAUUUGUACCACUCUUAUCCUGGGAGUUCUAGUUUGGAGAAAGUGCUGAUAAUUAUCCGAUCCUCAAACACAGCGGUUUGUGGCUGACCAGAAACCAUUGUAGCUUGGGAUGAUGGGAGUUAUAGUCCAAUAGCGACUGGAGAUUCAAGACUGGAACACCUGCUCUAGCUUUCCCCCACAGCUGUGUUAGUUGGUUUUCAUUUUGUCAAAACAUUCCAUCAGUAACUGGGUCCAACAAUAACUGUAGGCCAACAUCUGCGAUAAAAAUGUUCUUUUUCAGAUCUCUUUCUCUCUCUCUUUCAAUUACAAAAUUAUUUUCUGCAAUUGAUUUUUGUUUCUACAGAACAUCUUUAACAUUUCAGACAACUUAAGAGCCCUGUGAUCGAAAAGUACCCAUCAUAGGUUUCUAGGUUUUCAGAACUAUAGGAUUUAUUUAUUUCUCCUCUUUUUAUUAAUUACUGUAAAUAGAAUAGUGCAUUUUGUGACAAUACUUUUGUAACAGUAGAGGGCACCCUUGCUUUAUAAAUAUAAAUGUAACUAUAAAUAUGUGUGAUUCUAUACAAUUACAGGAGAAUGAUAUUCAAAAUAAUAUAAACCAUUCACAGUUUGUUACAUUUUACAUCACCCACUUUAGUGUAAAAGUUAGAACAGUUUCCACCUACCCUAUAUUAUCCUUAAAAAAAGAAAAAGAAAACAAAUGAACAGUCAAUAGCUAUUAUCUUUUGAAUGAAACAAAAAUAUAUGAAAACUGACAUAUAAGCAUUAUCAUUUCUCAGAAAAGGAGAAAACAUUUCCAUGCAUUUUAAAGAUGUAUAAGAGAGACACCAGCAACAGCCACUACCCUAAAAAUAUGGCCUUAAUGUCUCCCCUAAAUCUGUUUCCUUGUAAUUUCAAACCAUUGGUUCUAAUCCUGCCCUCAGAAGGAACAGAGAACAAGUCCUGUCUUUCUUUUAUAUGCUUUGAAGAGAGUGAAAAUGCCCCCUUUAGUCUUCACUUCUUCAGGCUGAAUGUACCCAGCUUCUCUAACCAUUUCUCAUAAGACUUGGUUUCCAGAUCCCACAACAUCUUUGUUGUCCUCUGAAACCAUUCCAGUUUUCAGUGUUUUUUUCUUAAAAUGUGGUUCCCAGAACUGGGCACAGUAUUAGAAGUGAGACUGGCCAGCACAUAAUGGAGUGGAGUGGUUACUUUUUGUAAUCUGGACACUAUGCCUCUGUCAAUGCAGCCUACAAUUGCGUUUGCUUUUUAAGCAGCUGCGUCACACUGCUGGAUAAAUGUUCGGGAUAAAUGAAGAUGCCAACAUAAGAAAUUAGACGCGCCCACACUGGAAUCAGGGCUGCACAAGCAGAUCCUGAUACUGAAUCAGCUGCUAACAAAAGCCCUAUUUACAUGUUCUGUUCAGCGCAUGUACAAUCUGUGCACAAUGCACACAUACAGAUCAAGGCAUACAUAUACACACAUGGAAUAACCUCCCCAGAGAGGCUUACCUGGCAUCAUCACUUUGUUCUUUUAGACAUCAGGUGAAGACCUUUUUGUUCACUCAGGUUUUUUAAAUUUGAUUUUUAAAAAGUUUUAAAAUGCUUUGGACUGUAUUUUGUACUAUAAUUUGUUUUGUGUUAUGUGUUCUAAUUGGAUGUUUUUAUUGUGUUGUUGUGACCUGCCCAGAAAAUAAUUUAUUAUGGGGCGACUAAAAAAUAAAGUUUAUUAUUAUUAUCUA